rnacentral:rRNA from 1 species
CUACGGGGCGCUCCAGUAGGGAAUAUUGGACAAUGGGCGAAAGCCUGAUCCAGCAACACCGCGUGCACGAUGACGGCCUUCGGGUUGUAAAGUGCUUUUAGAGGAGAUGAGAAAGGACAGUAUCCUCUGAAUAAGCCUCGGCGAACUACGUGCCAGCAGCCGCGGUAAAACGUAGGAGGCAAGCGUUAUCCGGAUUUAUUGGGCGUAAAGCGCGUGCAGGCGGUCUAGCAAGUUGGAUGUGAAAGCUCCCGGCUCAACUGGGAGAGGUCGUUCAAUACUGUUAGACUAGAGAAUAGGAGAGGGAGGUGGAAUUCCGGGUGUAGUGGUGAAAUGCGUAGAUAUCCGGAGGAACACCAGUGGCGAAAGCGGCCUCCUGGACUAUUUCUGACGCUAAGACGCGAAAGCUAGGGUAGCAAACUGGAUUAGAUACCCCAGUAGUC